rnacentral:rRNA from 1 species
GACGAACGCUGGCGGCGUGCUUAACACAUGCAAGUCGAACGGUGAAGCGCCUUCCUUUUUGGUGGGUGUGGAUGAGUGGCGAACGGGUGAGUAACACGUGAGUAACCUGCCCCCUUCUUCUGGAUAACCGCAUGAAAGUGUGGCUAAUACGGGAUAUUCUGGGUCUGUCGCAUGAUGGGUCUGGGAAAGAUAUUGUUUCGGUGGGGGAUGGGCUCGCGGCCUAUCAGCUUGUUGGUGGGGUGAUGGCCUACCAAGGCGGUGACGGGUAGCCGGCCUGAGAGGGUGGACGGUCACACUGGGAAUGAGACACGGCCAAGACUCCUACGGGAGGCAGCAGUGGGGAAUAUUGCACAAUGGGCGCAAGGCUGAUGCAGCGACGCCGCGUGAGGGAUGGAGGCCUUCGGGUUGUGAACCUCUUUCGCCAGUGAAGCAGGCCUGCCUCGUUUGUGGGUGGGUUGACGGUAGCUGGAUAAGAAGCGCCGGCUAACUACGUG